CCUACGGGUGGCUGCAGUGGGGAAUAUUGGACAAUGGGGGCAACCCUGAUCCAGCCAUGCCGCGUGUGUGAAGAAGGCCUUAGGGUUGUAAAGCACUUUCAGUGGGGAGAAAGGUUAUUCACCUAAUACGUGAGUAGAUUGAUGUUACCCACAGAAGAAGCACCGGCUAACUCCGUGCCAGCAGCCGCGGUAAUACGGAGGGUGCAAGCGUUAAUCGGAAUUACUGGGCGUAAAGCGCACGUAGGUGGUUUGUUAAGCUAGCUGUGAAAUCCCCG
rnacentral:rRNA from 1 species